rnacentral:rRNA from 1 species
UAGGGAAUCUUCCGCAAUGGACGCAAGUCUGACGGAGCAACGCCGCGUGAGUGAAGAAGGAUUUCGGUUCGUAAAACUCUGUUGUUAGAGAAGAACAGCGCAUAGAGUAACUGUUAUGCGUGUGACGGUAUCUAACCAGAAAGCCACGGCUAACUACGUGCCAGCAGCCGCGGUAAUACGUAGGUGGCAAGCGUUGUCCGGAUUUAUUGGGCGUAAAGCGAGCGCAGGCGGUCAAUUAAGUCUGAUGUGAAAGCCCCCGGCUCAACCGGGGAGGGUCAUUGGAAACUGGGUGACUUGAGUGCAGAAGAGGAGAGUGGAAUUCCAUGUGUAGCGGUGAAAUGCGUAGAUAUAUGGAGGAACACCAGUGGCGAAGGCGACUCUCUGGUCUGUAACUGACGCUGAGGUUCGAAAGCGUGGGUAGCAAACAGG